GGCCUUCCGUUUGCUAUCUCCUCUUCUUCUCCCCCCCCCCCCUUCUCACUGGUCAACGGCCGGGUGGCAGGCGGCGCCCGUUGGGGGUGGGUCUAGCUCCGUCGAUCGCCCCGGAGGAACGCGGCGCGGUGCUGCCUCCGGCGCGCGGGUUUUUCCAUGGGGAGGAACGGGAGCGUGAAGCGCUCGGGGUCCACUGGCGGCUCGGGGGCCGCCGCCGCGGGGCCGCCGACGUUCACCGUGAACCCAGGCGACUACCGGCUGAUGGAGGAGGUUGGGUACGGCGCGCACGCCGUCGUGUACCGCGCGAUCUUCCUGCCCAGGGACGAGGUCGUGGCGGUCAAGUGCCUGGAUCUCGAUCAGCUGAAUAACAACAUCGAUGAAAUACAAAGGGAGGCUCAAAUAAUGAGCUUGAUCGAUCAUCCUAAUGUCAUCAGGGCUUACUGCUCAUUUGUUGUGGAGCACAGCCUUUGGGUGAUAAUGCCAUUCAUGACAGAGGGUUCAUGUUUACACUUAAUGAAGAUUUCAUACCAGGAUGGUUUCGAUGAGCCAGUCAUCGGUUCCAUCCUAAAGGAAACUCUUAAGGCUCUGGAAUACCUUCACAGGCAAGGUCAAAUACAUCGUGAUGUCAAGGCUGGUAAUAUCCUUAUUGACAGUGCUGGUAUAGUGAAGCUUGGAGACUUUGGUGUUUCUGCUUGCAUGUUUGAUAGAGGUGAUAGGCAAAGAUCUAGGAAUACAUUUGUAGGGACACCAUGCUGGAUGGCUCCAGAAGUGCUCCAGCCUGGCACUGGAUAUAAUUUCAAAGCUGAUAUAUGGUCAUUUGGAAUCACUGCGCUUGAACUUGCGCAUGGCCAUGCUCCAUUUUCGAAAUACCCCCCUAUGAAGGUUCUUCUCAUGACUCUCCAGAAUGCACCACCUGGUCUUGACUAUGAACGUGAUAAAAAAUUCUCGAAGUCAUUUAAAGAGAUGGUUGCCAUGUGCUUGGUCAAAGAUCAAACAAAGAGGCCAACAGCUGAAAAGUUGCUAAAGCAUUCAUUUUUUAAAAAUGCAAAGCCUCCAGAAUUGACCAUCAGGAGUAUCUUAUCUGAUUUACCUCCUCUCUGGGACCGUGUAAAGGCUCUCCAGCUUAAAGAUGCAGCACAAUUGGCCUUGAAGAAAAUGCCUUCUUCUGAACAGGAGGCCCUCUCCCUGAGUGAAUACCAACGAGGUGUUAGUGCAUGGAAUUUUGAUAUCGAGGAUCUCAAGGCUCAAGCAUCAUUGAUUUGUGAUGAUGAGCCACCUGAAAUAAGAGAAGAUGAGGACACUGCAAGAAACACUGAAGUUGAAAAGGAUUUAUCUUCCAGGAACCAUUUGGGGAAGUCAUUUGCAAACGAUUGCAACUCCAGGGAGCAAACUUUUGCAACCAUUGUAAAUUCGCAUGGAAACAGACCUAUUACAAAAGAAGUCUUUGAUUUUGAUUUCGAUUUUAGUGACGCCAACCCUAAAAGGAGGGCUGAUGGAUUUGAAAACAACAGAAGAGAGAAUGACUCAUUGCCCUCAACAUCAAAGAGAGAUCCAGAGUCAAAUCAUUGGACAAGUGAUGUUGGGCAGCGACAACAGACUUCUGGUGGGAACAAUAGCUCAGUAGCUGAUGAAAGGGGCCCUGGUUUUGAGAGGGAUGCUGCUGUUCAAAUGAUAUCUGAUAAACAAAGAAGUGAUAUGAGGAAAACAGCAAGCCUUAGUGGUCCACUUUCAUUGCCAACUCGUGCUUCUGCAAAUAGUCUGUCGGCUCCUAUUCGAUCUUCAGGAGUUUCUGUAGAAUCACCUGUAGACAAGUCCAAACGAAAUGUUGUGGAGAUUAAAGGCCGCUUUUCGGUGACAUCUGAGAACGUUGAUCUUGCAAAGGUUCAGGACGUUCCAGUCAGCAGUCUCUCCCGCAAGUCCCCAGAGGGUUUACUGCUAAGAAAAUCUGCUAGUACUAGUGAUUGUUUGGUCAAUGCUAAGCCAAUGUGUAAUAGUUCAGUGUCAUCGUCUAUAUUGAUUCCUCACCUGAAUAACCUUGGGCAACAGACCAUGUUUCAGCAGGAUCUGAUUAUGAACCUAUUAAGUAGCUUGCAACAAAAUGAGAAAGCUGAUGGAUCAGAGCCUGGAAUAUCUUCUCAAGUCCGAAAUAUGGAGAGUGAUAAAGUGGCUGAGACAGCUAACUCUGAGAAGGAACGGUCAUUACUUGUCAAAAUUUCGGAACUACAGUCUAGAUUAUUAGUUCGUAUGGCGCCAUUUAUGUUCUGUUUUGGCAACCAUGGUUUAGCAGCUGAACUUACGGAUGCACUUUCACUAUCAAACUGAAUCGGGAUGAUAAUGUUGACUGACGAACUAAUUGCCACUAAGCUAAAACAUGCACAGUUGCAGCAAGAGCUAAAUGCAUUGUACUGCCGAGAAGAAAUUGAAGACGUCAGGGAUGAGGACAAUGAAGAAACAUAACAUCAGGAGGAUCCAUGUUGUGCGAAUUAGCUGCCCUGGCUUGUUAUGUCGAGGCUAAGGGAGUCUUAACAGGAGAAGGAACUUCGUGCCAACAGCGCUUCUGAGUCGCAAAUAUAUGCCUGAUCCGGAGACUAGCUCUUACAUUACAGCUGCGGCACUUAUGGAAUUCUUUUCUUUGAAAGUUGUCUGUGCCCUACUGCCCUUGGCCUGCUGCCAUCAGUGUGUAUAUCCAUCUUUCUUUCAAUUACCUUUAGUUUCCGUUGGUUCAACGGGUUUUUGGUGGUCCCGAGAUUGCGAUUGCGGCAUUGUUGAUUCUGCUAUACAUAUCAUUGGAGUAGCUGUGAUUAUGUAGUUCGUAGGUUGGUGGUUGGUUCUCAAUGCAGAAUAGCGGAGGACUGCAUAAUAAAAUGUAUUUUAUGUAGCAAUAGCUUGUAUAUUUCUGAUUGGUGCAUUCGUUGAUAUUUUCAUGCAUAUUUGCAAACCUCGGAACAGAGUUGUUUGCAUAUCUAAUAAUAAAGUACACAUUUACUC